AGGGUUUGAUCCUGGCUCAGGAUGAACGCUAGCGGGAGGCUUAACACAUGCAAGUCGAGGGGCAGCAUUCACUUCGGUGAGAUGGCGACCGGCGCACGGGUGCGUAACGCGUAUGCAACCUACCUUAUACAAAGGGAUAGCCCAUGGAAACGUGGAUUAAUACCUUAUGGUACUAUAAAGCUACAUAGUUUAAUAGUUAAAACUUCGGUGGUAUAAGAUGGGCAUGCGUAUGAUUAGGUAGUUGGUAGGGUAAAGGCCUACCAAGCCGACGAUCAUUAGGGGUUCUGAGAGGAUUAUCCCCCACACUGGUACUGAGACACGGACCAGACUCCUACGGGAGGCAGCAGUGAGGAAUAUUGGUCAAUGGACGAGAGUCUGAACCAGCUAUCCCGCGUGCAGGAUGACGGCCCUAUGGGUUGUAAACUGCUUUUCUAUGCCAAGAAAUCUUACUACGUGUAGUAAGUUGACGGUAGCAUAGGAAUAAGGACCGGCUAACUCCGUGCCAGCAGCCGCGGUAAUACGGAGGGUCCAAGCGUUAUCCGGAUUUAUUGGGUUUAAAGGGUGCGCAGGUGGGAAUGUAAGUCAGUGGUGAAAUACUGCCGCUUAACGGUAGAACUGCCAUUGAUACUGCAUUUCUUGAGUAUGGUUGAGGUAGGCGGAAUGUGUCGUGUAGCGGUGAAAUGCAUAGAUAUGACACAGAACGCCAAUUGCGAAGGCAGCUUACUAAGCCAUUACUGACGCUGAGGCACGAAAGCGUGGGGAGCGAACAGGAUUAGAUACCCUGGUAGUCCACGCCGUAAACGAUGUUCACUCGCUGUCUGCGAUACACAGUAGGCGGCUAAGCGAAAGCAUUAAGUGAACCACCUGGGGAGUACGAUCGCAAGGUUGAAACUCAAAGGAAUUGACGGGGGCCCGCACAAGCGGAGGAACAUGUGGUUUAAUUCGAUGAUACGCGAGGAACCUUACCUGGGCUUAAAUGUAGAUUGCAUAACUUAGAAAUAGGUUUUCCCUUCGGGGCUAUUUACAAGGUGCUGCAUGGUUGUCGUCAGCUCGUGCCGUGAGGUGUCGGGUUAAGAACCCCUAUCGUUAGUUGCCAGCGGAUAAUGCCGGGGACUCUAGCGAGACUGCCACCGUAAGGUGAGAGGAAGGUGGGGAUGACGUCAAAUCAGCACGGCCCUUAUGUCCAGGGCUACACACGUGUUACAAUGGCAGGUACAAAGGGCAGCUACACAGCGAUGUGAUGCUAAUCUCUAAAGCCUGUUCCUAAGUUCGAAUUGAUGGCUGCAACUCGACUUCAUGAAGUUGGAAUUGCUAGUAAUCGUGAAUCAGAUAUGUCACGGUGAAUGUGUUCCUGGGUCUUGUACUCACCGCCCGUCACGUCAUGAAAGGUGGAGGCACCCGAAGUACCGUUAUCAUUUAUGAGCGGUCCUAAGGUGAAACCACUGAUUGGGACGAAGUCGUAACAAGGUAGCC
rnacentral:rRNA from 1 species